GCGGCUGGAAGAGCACCGC
rnacentral:snRNA from 1 species